GGUUCUGUGGCUUAGUUGGUUAAAGUGCCUGUCUAGUUAACAGGAGAUCCUAGGACCAAAUCCCAGCAAUACCU